UCCCUGAUGGUCUGGUAGUUAAGACUCUGCACCUUCACUGCAGAGGGUGUGGGUUCGAUCCCUGGUCAGGGAA
rfam:Ovis aries breed Texel chromosome 2, whole genome shotgun sequence.